rnacentral:lncRNA from 1 species
CUGUUUGUGACGUCGAGAGUUUCUAGGAGAUGGGCCGUGAUGUUCCCUGUUCUGAGGGUAGGCACCUUGAUUCAUCUAGAAUGUUGGUUGUGAACAGUUUCACAGUUUUUGAAGCAUAUCGCUGAAAUGCUUUCCCAAAGAAUGGUGCCAGUUUCUACUCUAAUCAGUAAUAGAGAUGAAUAAACUCACUCUGGUGAACACGUUUAUUCAGUGUGUGGAGUUUACAAAAGGCUCAAGUCCCAUCACGAUGAAAGGAGGGUAUUUAUUCUCACCAUUUUGUCAUCAGGCUCAUUUAUACAUUUUCUGGGCCUUCUACUUUUUUCCUAUUCCUCAUAUCAAUCAGGGUGUUUUCAUAGAUGCACAACCCCUAGAAGAUGUAUAUAUCUUUGUUACAGGGAUGUGACUUUACACAUUUGUGGAGCUGGCUGAGCAGGCUCCCUAAGACUGUUGUCUUUGCGUCUGAUGCUGGAGCUGGAAGUCCACAGGGUGAGUGGUUGGGAAGGGAAGGGGAACAUUAAGUGGGAGGGCUGGGGAGCUAGCUGGAACGCACAAGCAUGAUCGAAGGAUGGACUGAAAGUUGUAUCUAUUAUUGUUGCCUCUAACCUUGGUGAUGAGAGCAUCCUGCAGAAUCCAGGGGCCUUCCUCAUGGAGCUAAUAGACACCCAUAUCUAGCCUGCCAGUUGGAGAAGGUGAAGAAGGAAUGGGGAAAGUGGAGCACUUGCAGACCCAGCCACUGCUUCAUGCCAACAAAAAAAAGCAAUGAGAACCUGGGCUGAGACAGUAGCAAAUGCACCCUUGCAUUUGGGAAAGUAGCCGGGUGGCAAAAUCAUGGGUGUGAAACAAUGCUCUCAAAUGUAGAAGGUCAGUAUUUCUCAUAGCCAGAUCAAAUAUUAUAGAGAUUUUCUCAUAACAAGGAAUUACAUAACUUUAGAUGUAAAAAGUUAAAAUUUCCACUUCUGGCAAAGAAAGAGCAAUAGGGAAUUACCUUCCCAAUAGAAAAAAAAAAGCAAACAAUGGUUUUUAAGACAUUGGAUAUCAAUUAACAGAUAACAGUGAUUCCAGAAGGAUGGGUAACGUGGGGGACUGGCAUUGGCCACCCCAAGAUAUGUCUCUUUGGCAUG